rnacentral:piRNA from 1 species
GGAAAGGCUCAAGAUCACUCAAA